rnacentral:antisense_RNA from 1 species
GGUGAGCCACCACACCUGAUCAAGGCAUCACCGUUGAACCUCCUAAGAGGAAAACAUAAGGCUGUGCAAUACCAGGAACUGGGAUUCUAGGUUGCCCCAGACACCGAGGCAUCAAAAGCCAGGGGAUCCAGAGAAAACACAGCUGGCCAAGAGAGAAACUAGGGAAAAAGCCAAAAGGUUGAGAGCCACACCAUCUAGACGCUUCCUGCCUGCAGUGCGGCACAGAAAUAAGGAGAGUCAGCAAUUACCAGCCAGCCGAGGUCCUGGAAGCUGACGUAGAGCUCGUGCCGACGGCAGACCUGCCGGCCGUGGGAGCCGUGGACGUCAUCUGCAGGGACAGAAGGGGCAAGGUCUUUUCUGGGGUUCCUGCUGUGUGCAGCUACUAUGUGUGCAGCUACUAUGGGGUACCAGGGUGGGGGAUGCCCUGAUGAGCACAUUUGUCAAAUAAAUGAAUGACAGGAAACCA